rnacentral:rRNA from 1 species
GAUGAACGCUGGCGGCGUGCCUAAUACAUGCAAGUCGAGCGAACGGACGAGAAGCUUGCUUCUCUGAUGUUAGCAGCGGACGGGUGAGUAACACGUGGAUAACCUACCUAUAAGACUGGGAUAACUUCGGGAAACCGGAGCUAAUACCGGAUAAUAUUUUGAACCGCAUGGUUCAAAAGUGAAAGACGGUCUUGCUGUCACUUAUAGAUGGGUCCGCGCUGCAUUAGCUAGUUGGUAAGGUAACGGCUUACCAAGGCAACGAUGCGUAGCCGACCUGAGAGGGUGAUCGGCCACACUGGAACUGAGACACGGUCCAGACUCCUACGGGAGGCAGCAGUAGGGAAUCUUCCGCAAUGGGCGAAAGCCUGACGGAGCAACGCCGCGUGAGUGAUGAAGGUCUUCGGAUCGUAAAACUCUGUUAUUAGGGAAGAACAUAUGUGUAAGUAACUGUGCACAUCUUGACGGUACCUAAUCAGAAAGCCACGGCUAACUACGUG